rnacentral:tmRNA from 1 species
GGGGAUGUUUUGGCUUUCGACGGGGGUAUCAGAUUGGUUCUAAGCGAGUCGUGAUUCCAGACCACGUUAAAAUUGGAAACUAAAUAUUAAUUGACAAUAAUCAAUUAGCUUUCGCGGCAUAGUCCGCCAUCACACCGUAACGCCCUUAUAGCCGGGUUCUGUGAUGUAAAGCGCUUACAGGGGCAAGGUAAAUAACUAAGCUUUGCGUUAUUUCCCUAUUUAUGAAGCUACCCAAUGCAAUAGUCUGUGUGUGGACGCUUGCUGAGGGGAAUUUUAAAACACAUACUACACUCGUAGAAAGGGGCCUUGGCGGACUUUCGGACAGGGGUUCAAUUCCCCUCAUCUCCACCA